UGACAAGUGAAUGAAUGGAGAGG
rnacentral:miRNA from 1 species